rnacentral:rRNA from 1 species
CCUACGGGAGGCAGCAGUGAGGAAUAUUGGUCAAUGGACGAGAGUCUGAACCAGCCAAGUAGCGUGAGGGAUGACUGCCCUGUGGGUUGUAAACUUCUUUUAUCAGGGAAUAAAACGAGGCACGUGUGCCUUUUUGCGUGUACUUUAUGAAUAAGGAUCGGCUAACUCCGUGCCAGCAGCCGCGGUAAUACGGAGGAUCCGAGCGUUAUCCGGAUUUAUUGGGUUUAAAGGGAGCGUAGAUGGGGUGUUAAGUCAGUUGUGAAAGUUUGCGGCUCAACCGUAAAAUUGCAAUUGAUACUGGGAGUUGUGAGGAGAGUUAAGGUAGGCGGAAGUCGGGGUGUAGCGGUGAAAUGCUUAGAUACCACGAAGAACCCCGAUUGAGAAGGCAGCUGACUAAACUGGGACUGACAUCGAUGCUCGAAAGUGUGGGUAUCAAACAGGAUUAGAUACCCCUGUAGU